rnacentral:rRNA from 1 species
GAGUUUGAUCCUGGCUCAGGACGAACGCUGGCGGCACGCCUAACACAUKCAAGUCGAACGGAGAUAUUUUGGUUUAYUGAGAUWUMUUAGUGGCGGACGGGKGAGUAACACGUGAGCAACCUGCCUYUGAGAGAGGGAUAGCUUYUGGAAACGGAUGGUAAUACCUCAUAACAUAAMGAAGCCGCAUGACUUUGUUAUCAAAGAUUUAUCACUCAGAGAUGGGCUCGCGUYUGAUUAGAUAGUUGGUGAGGUAACGGCCCACCAAGUCGACGAUCAGUAGCCGGACUGAGAGGUUGAACGGCCACAUUGGGACUGAGACACGGCCCAGACUCCUACGGGAGGCAGCAGUGGGGAAUAUUGCACAAUGGGGGAAACCCUGAUGCAGCGAUGCCGCGUGGAGGAAGAAGGUUUUCGGAUUGUAAACUCCUGUCUAAAGGACGAUAAUGACGGUACUAGAGAGUAU